CAGUUGUGGGGCCAUGUUCUAAAGAGGGCCUUUGUGCCUCUAAACAGACACAAAAUGCAAUUAUAAUGUCUGUGCAACAUGAACAGCACACUUGUGCUGAAGAGAUGUGAUUUCAACUCAGAUAUUAUGAAGAAACGAUUUAAAUUCCAAGUUUGUACUGUCUUCUACCUCGUAUGGAUCUUGCCGAUUGCUAGCUCGGCCUGCUAGCUGCACAGUGGUCGUCCUGCAACAACUGAAUUCCCACUGGACUUCAGCGCGAGACUAGAGCUAGCCUUCUGUAACGCUAUUACUGUGCAAGCCACAGGCAUCAUUUGGACCGUUUUUAUGUAGUUACAUAGUCACUGAUAUGGCCAUAGCCACUACAGUGCUCAAUUACCUAUAUUUGAGGGGUAAUAAACUU